UUUAACUUAGCAUAAAAAAAAAUGCAAAGAGUUUAAGCCUCUUUUAUUAAUGUUAAAA
rnacentral:tRNA from 1 species